AUGAGUCUAAUGGCGUGGAACUGUCGUGGAGCGGGCAAUGCCACGACAGUUCAGGAACUUCGCGAUUUCGCGAGGAAGUUUGCCCCUUCGGUGUUAGGCGUAGUAGAAAAUCAGAUAAGCAAAUCAGCUGCUGAAGACCUAGCACCGGCGAUUGGUUAUGAAUGUAGGUUUGCUAUAGGUAGUUCCGACUGGAGCGGCGGACUUGUAAUUUUUUGGAAUAAAGAAAUAAAAGUUGAGGUUCUAAGCUACUCCCGUUAUCACAUUGAUGCAAGAGUAGAAGGGUUGGAGCAUAGUGAAUGGCGUAUGAUUUUGGUCUAUGGUGAGGCACAAGUAGCAGAAAGGCACAAAACAUGGACAACUUUGAAAGACUUGGCAGCACACUCAGCUUUGCCGUGGGUCACUUUGGGUGAUUACAAUGAAGUGUUGCUCCUUAGCGAGCAUGACGGAAUUGGUAACAAAAGUCAAGCCCAAAUUGAUGCAUUCAGAGAUGCAAUUGACGUAUGUUGUUUGAAAGAUUUAGGAUAUAAUGGCAACAUCUGGACCUUUGAGAAAAAAGUGGUGGGGGUUCCUAUACCCGUGUGCGCCUUGAUCGAGCACUGGCAAACCCAUCUUGGGAGCUUCUGUUCCCAGAUGCAGUUGUUGAUCAUCUCACAUGUGCUUGCUCAGACCACUCACCCAUACUCCUGA
rnacentral:rRNA from 1 species